AUUGAACGCUAGCGGGAUGCUUUACACAUGCAAGUCGAACGAGUGGCGGACGGGUGAGUAAUAUAUCGGAACGUGCCCAGUAGCGGGGGAUAACUACUCGAAAGUGUGGCUACUACCGCAUACUCUUGGAUCUGCCGAUAUCGGAUUAGCUAGUUUGUGGUGUAAAGGGUCACAAAGGCAACGAUCCGUAGCUGGUUUGAGAUGAGGACCAGCAACACUGGGACGGAGACACGGACCAGAGUCCUACGGGAGGCAGCAGUGGGGAAUAUUGGACAAUGGGGGAAACCCUGAUCCAGCCAUACCGCGUGUAUGAGAAGGCCUUCGGGUUGUAAAGUACUUUUGGCAGAGAAGCGGUAUCUGCAGAAUAAGCACCGGCUAACUACGUGCCAGCAGCCGCGGUAAUAC
rnacentral:rRNA from 1 species